CGGAGGUGCAAGCGUUAAUCGGAAUUACUGGGCGUAAAGCGCACGCAGGCGGUCUGUUAAGUCAGAUGUGAAAUCCCCGGGCUUAACCUGGGAACUGCAUUUGAACUGGCAGGCUUGAGUCUUGUAGAGGGUAGAAUUCCAGGUGUAGCGGUGAAAUGCGUAGAGAUCUGGAGGAAUACCGGUGGCGAAGGCGGCCCCUGGACAAGACUGACGCUCAGGUGCGAAAGCGGUGGGGAGACAAACAGGAUU
rnacentral:rRNA from 1 species